UUGUUGGAGAGUUUGAUCCUGGCUCAGGAUGAACGCUGGCGGCGUGCUUAACACAUGCAAGUCGAACGGGAUCCAAGAGCGCUUGCGUUUUUGGUGAGAGUGGCGAACGGGUGAGUAACACGUGAGUAACCUGUCCUUUUCUUUGGGAUAAGCUUCCGAAAGGGUGUUUAAUACCUUAUGUUCUGUCUGCCUCGCAUGGGGUGGGUGGGAAAGAUUUUUUCGGUAAAGGGUGGGCUCGCGGUCUAUCAGCUUGUUGGUGGGGUGAUGGCCUACCAAGGCUUUGACGGGUAGCCGGCCUGAGAGGGUGGUCGGUCACAUUGGGACUGAGAUACGGCCCAGACUCCUGCGGGAGGCAGCAGUGGGGGAUAUUGCACAAUGGGCGAAAGCCUGAUGCAGCGACGCCGCGUGGGGGAUGAAGGCCUUCGGGUUGUAAACUUCUUUUGCUCUGAACAAGGCGCACCGUGGGGUGUGUUGAGUGUAGGGGUUGAUUAGCGCCGGCUAACUACGUGCCAGCAGCCGCGGUAAUACGUAGGGCGCGAGCGUUGUCCGGAAUUAUUG
rnacentral:rRNA from 1 species